ensembl:lncRNA
GUAUUAACAGUGGUAGUGUUAGAGAUAGCGAUAGUUGUGGUGUUGGUGGUAGUGAUAGUGAUAGUGAUAGUGGUAUUAAUAGUGGUAGUGAUAGUGAUAGUGGUAUUAAUAGUGGUAGUGAUAGUGAUAGUGGGAUUAAUAGUGGUAUGAUGAUGGUAGUGAUAGUGGUAUUAAUAGUGGUAGUGAUAGUGAUAGUGGUAUUAAUAGUGGUAGUGAUAGUGAUAGUGGUAUUAACAGGGGUAGUGUGAGAGAUAGCGAUGGCAGUGGUGUUGGUGGUGGUGAUAGUGCUAGUUAUCGUGCUCUGGGCAGUGUGGUCGAGCACAGGGCAGAUGGCUGCUGGGAUGCCAGCCUUGCCGGGGGGUCAGGGGGUCACGAGCGGCCCAUUGCAGGUCCUGGUUCGGCCCUUCUGUUUGGCACCGAGCUGCGAAUCAGGCCAAUAUCCAUGAUGAUGAUGAUGAUGAUGAUGAUGA